rnacentral:rRNA from 1 species
AUACGGGGGGUGCAAGCGUUAAUCGGAAUUACUGGGCGUAAAGGGUGCGUAGGCGGCUUGAUAAGUCGGAUGUGAAAGCCCCGGGCUUAACCUGGGAAUUGCAUUCGAUACUGUCAGGCUAGAGUAUGUCAGAGGUUGGCGGAAUUCCUGGUGUAGCGGUGAAAUGCGUAGAUAUCAGGAGGAACACCAGUGGCGAAGGCGGCUAACUGGGACAAUACUGACGCUGAGGCACGAAAGCGUGGGGAGCAAACAGGAUUAGAAACCCCAGUAGUCC